rnacentral:rRNA from 1 species
GACGAACGCUGGCGGCGUGCUUAACACAUGCAAGUCGAACGGAAAGGCCCUGCUUUUGUGGGGUGCUCGAGUGGCGAACGGGUGAGUAACACGUGAGUAACCUGCCCUUGACUUUGGGAUAACUUCAGGAAACUGGGGCUAAUACCGGAUAGGAGCUCCUGCUGCAUGGUGGGGGUUGGAAAGUUUCGGCGGUUGGGGGUGGACUCGCGGCUUAUCAGCUUGUUGGUGGGGUAGUGGCUUACCAAGGCUUUGACGGGUAGCCGGCCUGAGAGGGUGACCGGCCACAUUGGGACUGAGAUACGGCCCAGACUCCUACGGGAGGCAGCAGUGGGGAAUAUUGCACAAUGGGCGGAAGCCUGACGCAGCAACGCCGCGUGCGGGAUGACGGCCUUCGGGUUGUAAACCGCUUUCGCCUGUGACGAAGCGUGAGUGACGGUAAUGGGUAAAGAAGCACCGGCUAACUACGUG